AAGAUACAAAUGGGGGUGUCUGGCUGGCUCCACAGAACACGUGACUCUUGAUCUCGGGGUUGUGAAUUUGAGCCCCAUGUUGGGUGUAGAGAUUA